rnacentral:rRNA from 1 species
CCUACGGGGGGCAGCAGUGGGGAAUAUUGGGCAAUGGGCGCAAGCCUGACCCAGCAACGCCGCGUGAAGGAAGAAGGCUUUCGGGUUGUAAACUUCUUUUAAGGGGGAAGAGCAGAAGACGGUACCCCUUGAAUAAGCCACGGCUAACUACGUGCCAGCAGCCGCGGUAAUACGUAGGUGGCAGGCGUUUUCCGGAUUUACUGGGUGUAAAGGGCGUGCAGCCGGGAAGACAAGUCAGAUGGGAAAUCCACGGGCUCAACCCGUGAACUGCAUUUGAAACUGUUUCCCUUGAGUGUCGGAGAGGUAAGCGGAAUGCCUGGUGUAGCGGUGAAAUGCGUAGAUAUAAGGCAGAACACCAGUGGCGAUGGCGGAUUACUGGACGAUAACUGACGGUGAGGCGCGAAAGCGUGGGGAGCAAACAGGAUUAGAUACCCGAGUAGUC